rnacentral:sRNA from 1 species
AAUGGUGUUGCUAUAAGGUUUGACCCUUUGAUAACUCUUGGUGGAUUAAGUGUCCCUAAUCAAGACAUCCAUUUUAGAUUACAUUCAAAGGAUCUUGUUUGUGUAUUAUUUUGAAUACUGUGAGACCUGGCUAUUCCCGGACAGUGGCUGAAAUGGCUUUCCAAGUAUGGGGCCUUCAGACUGCACCCUAGAUCUAAGACCUAGGAGCCUGCCUCAGUCUGAGAAGUUUCUCAAAAAAAAAAAAAGGAGGGGGCAUUACUUCCCAAUUAACUCAAUUAACUUCUUCUGGUGUUUAAGAAGCUACCAGGAAAUUAACCAAAUAAGGUCUCCUGCCUACUGUCUAUGUCUGAGGAACUCCGGGCCCUGGAAGUGAUUUCUUAAAGAAUGUACUAACCAACCUCAGGACUGCAAUUAGGUUCUACCAAGGAGAGGAAUGACAUCAGAGAAGGAGCCAUCUGUUUCCUGCUGAGCCCCCAACAGAGACACUUUCCAAUCAAGAAUGUACUGCAGCGAAUUCAAGAAGUACCAGUGUGGAACAUUAUAAGUGCCUCUGGGAGCAUCAACAGAAUAUUUACAGGGUCUCUCACUGAACCCAGGACAAGGCAGCCAUCUUCCAUCGAUGGGAUGGAGUUAACAAGCAGGUGUGUGUGUGACCACACCGGGUUUUCCCACGGGUGCUGAUGACUUGAACUCAGGGCCUUCAACUUGUCUAAAAGUAUCCUCCCACUUCUCGUGAUCUGUGGGAAAGAAUACAAAGUGUGAACAGAUAAGGAAAAUACACAAAGAAAUACAAAGUAGCAAGCCCAGCUCAGAAAAGUCCCAUGCUGCCAAAUGGUCAGGAAGGUUUAAUUUUGUCCAAAAAAAAAAAAAGUCUGAAAAGCUGUAACAAAGCCCAAAAGCCAAGGUGCCACAUGUAGGCUGCAGAUGUGAACAGCGGCAGAAACCGUCCUUUCUCUGGGUUGAUGUAAAAAGACAACCCAAGAGUCUCACCGAGGCACACGCAAAACCAGCCAGGAAUGACGCUUUGAAGCCAUCCUUUAAAUGAACUGUCUCGGUGUCCUACAGUUCAUCAAAGGUUUCCUGUCUCUGAAAGGUCAGCCUCAUAUCCCUUACCCUUUCUGAAUCUCAGUCUCCUUUCAGCUCUUCACUGACAAACGGCGAGCAGGGGCCUCUUCGUCCUAACAAUCUCGAUUGCACAGUUCACAGAUUCUUAAGAUAAAUCACUACGCGAAUAUCAUAUACAGUCUUUGGUCUGUCUCACGGGUCUAUGUUAAAAAAUAAAAAUAAAAACCAAUACUUUUGUAAUAGCGAGGGGGUGUUGAAACCCUGAUUAAAUAAAGUGAGGUUAAAAACUCGGGAAGACA